AGUGAACGCUGGCGGUAGGCCUAACACAUGCAAGUCGAACGGCAGCACAGUAAGAGUUUGCUUCUACGGGUGGCGAGUGGCGGACGGGUGAGGGAUACAUCGGAAUCUACUUUUUCGUGGGGGACAACGUAGGGCAACUGAUACUACUACCGCAUACGUUCUACGGCUGAAAGCAGUGGUUCAUCGGAGCUUGCCUGUUUGUUUGAGACGGUGCCGGAUUAGCUAGUUGGCGUGGUAAGGGCCCACCAAGGCGACGAUCCGUAGCUGAUCUGAGAGGAUGAUCAGCCACACUGGAACUGAGACACGGUCCAGACUCCUACGGGAGGCAGCAGUGGGGAAUAUUGGGCAAUGGGCGCAAGCCUGACCCAGCCAUGCCGCGUGAGUGAUGAAGGCCUUCGGAUUGUAAAGCCCUUUUAUUAGGAAAGAAAAACAGCGGGAUAAUACCCGGAUGUUCUGACGGUACCCAAACAAUAAGCACCGGCUAACUUCGUG
rnacentral:rRNA from 1 species